CUAAAUGUAGUUUAAUAAAGAACAUUUUACUUACAAUAAAAAGGUAUUAUAGUUAAUCAUUUUGA
rnacentral:tRNA from 1 species